rnacentral:tRNA from 1 species
GCCCCAGUAGUAUAAAUAUUACCCUGGCCUUGUAAGCCAGAAAUGGAGAUGACUCUCCCUAGGACA